rnacentral:rRNA from 1 species
UACGUGGGGGGCUAGCGUUGUCCGGAAUCAUUGGGCGUAAAGCGCGUGUAGGCGGCCCGGUAAGUCCGCUGUGAAAGUCGGGGGCUCAACCCUCGGAUGCCGGUGGAUACUGUCGGGCUCGAGUGCGGAAGAGGCGAGUGGAAUUCCUGGUGUAGCGGUGAAAUGCGCAGAUAUCAGGAGGAACACCAAUUGCGAAGGCAGCUCGCUGGGACGUUACUGACGCUGAGACGCGAAAGCGUGGGGAGCAAACAGG